rnacentral:rRNA from 1 species
GACGAACGCUGGCGGCGUGCUUAACACGUGCAAGUCGAACGGUAAGGCCCUUCGGGGUACACGAGUGGCGAACGGGUGAGUAACACGUGGGUGAUCUGCCCUGCACUUCGGGAUAAGCCUGGGAAACUGGGUCUAAUACCGGAUAGGACCACUGCCUGCAUGGGUGGUGGUGGAAAGCUUUUGCGGUGUGGGAUGGGCCCGCGGCCUAUCAGCUUGUUGGUGGGGUGAUGGCCUACCAAGGCGACGACGGGUAACCGGCCUGAGAGGGUGACCGGUCACACUGGGACUGAGACACGGCCCAGACUCCUACGGGAGGCAGCAGUGGGGAAUAUUGCACAAUGGGCGCAAGCCUGAUGCAGCAACGCCGCGUGAGGGAUGAAGGCCUUCGGGUUGUAAACCUCUUUUAGCAGGGAAGAAGCGAAAGUGACGGUACCUGCAGAAAAAGCACCGGCUAACUACGUGCCAGCCGCCGCUGUAA